CACAGCAGGAGCUCUAUGACCAAAUUCCAUGGUCAAACUGAAUUCACAGCAGGGGCUGCAAACCCAAAUUCCAUAGGCAAACUGAAUUCACAGCAGGGGCUCCAAGGCCAAAUUCCAUAGGCAAACUGAAUUCACAGCAGGGGCUUCAAGGCCAAAUUCCAUGGUCAAACUGAAUUCCACCUGUUCCCAUCCCUGGCCACGGAGAACAUCCCUAGGAGUGCAGAUGGCAGAGGCUGAGCCCCCAGAAGUCCCUCAUUUCAUUACACCAGCCCAGGCCCCAAAAGCAGCUGGACAGAUGUGGGGAUGUCCCUCUUGGCUGACUUGUUCCAGGAGCAGCUCUCCUCAAAAUGAGACCAGGACACCCCAAGAUCUUCCCCAGUUCAGUACAAUCCUGCAGCCUGAAAUCUGUUUCCAGGAGAGGAGAUCACCACUAACAGCAGGGCUUAACUGUUGCAGCAGGUCCUGAGGCAGCGUUUGCCCCUGGUGACAGCGUGAGGCUGGCUCUGUGUCACAGCCCACAGACCUGACAGCCACAC